UACGAAGGGGGCUAGCGUUGCUCGGAAUUACUGGGCGUAAAGCGCACGUAGGCGGCUUUCUAAGUCGGGGGUGAAAUCCUGGAGCUCAACUCCAGAACUGCCUUCGAUACUGGAGAGCUCGAGUCCGGGAGAGGUGAGUGGAACUGCGAGUGUAGAGGUGAAAUUCGUAGAUAUCAGGAAGAACACCAAUGGCGAAAGCAGCUCUCUGGGACGGUACUGACGCUGAGACGCGAAAGCGUGGGGAGCGAACAGG
rnacentral:rRNA from 1 species